rnacentral:rRNA from 1 species
AGUGAACGCUGGCGGUAGGCCUAACACAUGCAGGUCGAACGGCAGCACAGUAAGAGCUUGCUCUUACGGGUGGCGAGUGGCGGACGGGUGAGGAAUACAUCGGAAUCUACUUUUUCGUGGGGGAUAACGUAGGGAAACUUACGCUAAUACCGCAUACGACCUACGGGUGAAAGCAGGGGAUCUUCGGACCUUGCGCGAUUGAAUGAGCCGAUGUCGGAUUAGCUAGUUGGCGGGGUAAAGGCCCACCAAGGCGACGAUCCGUAGCUGGUCUGAGAGGAUGAUCAGCCACACUGGAACUGAGACACGGUCCAGACUCCUACGGGAGGCAGCAGUGGGGAAUAUUGGACAAUGGGCGCAAGCCUGAUCCAGCCAUACCGCGUGGGUGAAGAAGGCCUUCGGGUUGUAAAGUCCUUUUGUUGGGAAAGAAAAGCAGCAGGUUAAUACCCCGCUGUUCUGACGGUACCCAAAGAAUAAGCACCGGCUAACUUCGUG